GCCGGGAUUGCAUAAUCUGGUAUUGCGCAGGCCUGGAAAGCCUGUUUCCGAAAGGAUGUCUGGGUUCAAACGAGCAUGCGAGCUUUUUCGCAUGCAUCUCGUUGCCUGACUUAACACAACCAUCAGAUUGAAAAUCCCAGUCCCGGCG
rnacentral:tRNA from 1 species